CUGCCUGGGAGGGGGGGACAACAGAACGAAGGGUACGCUCAUACCGCAUACAUCCUACGGGAUAAAGCAGGGAACCUUCUGGCCUUGCGCUAUCAUAAGAAUCUAUCCCGUUUUAUAUAGGUGGUGGGGUAAUGUUUCACCGGGGCGACUAUCCAUAACUGGUGUGAGAGAAUGAUCCCUCACUGUGGAACUGACACACGGCCCACACUCCUACGGGAGGCAGCAGUGGAAAAUUUUGCACAGUGGGCGAAACCCUGAUCCCCCCGUGCCGCGUGUGAGAACAAGGCCUUCGGAUUGUAAAGGACUUUAAGUUGGAAGAAAGGGCAGUACGUGAAUACCUUGGUGUUUUGAGGUUACCGACAGAAUAACUACCUCCUAGCUCUGU
rnacentral:rRNA from 1 species